GUACACUCCUGCGGGAGGCAGCAGUGGGGAAUUUUGGACAAUGGGCGAAAGCCUGAUCCAGCCAUGCCGCGUGCAGGAUGAAGGCCUUCGGGUUGUAAACUGCUUUUGUACGGAACGAAACGGCCUUUUCUAAUAAAGAGGGCUAAUGACGGUACCGUAAGAAUAAGCACCGGCUAACUACGUGCCAGCAGCCGCGGUAAUACGUAGGGUGCAAGCGUUAAUCGGAAUUACUGGGCGUAAAGCGUGCGCAGGCGGUUAUGUAAGACAGUUGCGAAAUCCCCGGGCUCAACCUGGGAACUGCAUCUGUGACUGCAUAGCUAGAGUACGGUAGAGGGGGAUGGAAUUCCGCGUGUAGCAGUGAAAUGCGUAGAUAUGCGGAGGAACACCGAUGGCGAAGGCAAUCCCCUGGACCUGUACUGACGCUCAUGCACGAAAGCGUGGGGAGCAAACAGGAUUAGAUACCCCUGUAGUCCCAU
rnacentral:rRNA from 1 species